rnacentral:rRNA from 1 species
GACGAACGCUGGCGGCAUGCCUAAUACAUGCAAGUCGAGCGAACAGAUGAAGUGCUUGCGCUUCUGACGUUAGCGGCGAACGGGUGAGUAACACGUAAGGAAUCUACCUAUAAGCGGGGGAUAACAUUCGGAAACGGGUGCUAAUACCGCAUAAUAUCUUCUUCCGCAUGGAAGAAGAUUGAAAGACGGCUCUGCUGUCACUUAUAGAUGACCUUGCGGUGCAUUAGUUAGUUGGUGGGGUAAUGGCCUACCAAGACGAUGAUGCAUAGCCGACCUGGGAGGGUGUGCGGCCACAUUGGGACUGAGACACGGCCCAAACUCCUACGGGAGGCAGCAGUAGGGAAUCUUCCGCAAUGGGCGAAAGCCUGACGGAGCAAUGCCGCGUGAGUGAAGAAGGCCUUCGGGUCGUAAAACUCUGUUAUAAGAGAAGAACAAAUUGUAGAGUAACUGCUACAGUCUUGACGGUAUCUUAUCAGAAAGCCACGGCUAACUACGUGCCAGCCGCCGCGGUAA